rnacentral:rRNA from 1 species
ACACCGGCAGCUCUAGUGGUAGCUGUUUUUAUUGGGCCUAAAGCGUUCGUAGCCGGUUUGAUAAGUCACUGGUGAAAUCCUGUAGCUUAACUGUGGGAAUUGCUGGUGAUACUGUUGAACUUGAGGUCGGGAGAGGUUAGCGGUACUCCCAGGGUAGAGGUGAAAUUCUGUAAUCCUGGGAGGACCACCUGUGGCGAAGGCGGCUAACUGGAACGAACCUGACGGUGAGGGACGAAAGCUAGGGGCGCGAACCGGAUUAGAUACCCGGGUAGUCCUAGCCGUAAACGAUGCGGACUUGGUGUUGGGAUGGCUUUGAGCCGCUCCGGUGCCGAAGGGAAGCUGUUAAGUCCGCCGCCUGGGAAGUACGGUCGCAAGACUGAAACUCAAAUGAAUCGGCGGGG